rfam:Dipodomys ordii contig_26052, whole genome shotgun sequence.
GGUGGCUCAGUGGUAGAGUGUUUGCCUUGCAUGCAUGAGACCCUGGGUUCGAUUCCUCAGCACCA